UACGUAGGUGACAAGCGUUGUCCGGAUUUACUGGGCGUAAAGAGCGCGCAGGCGGUCGUUCAAGUCGCGUGUGAAAGCCCCCCGGCUCAACUGGGGAGGGUCACGCGAUACUGAUCGACUCGAAGGCAGGAGAGGGUAGUGGAAUUCCCGGUGUAGUGGUGAAAUGCGUAGAUAUCGGGAGGAACACCAGUGGCGAAGGCGACUACCUGGCCUGUUCUUGACGCUGAGGCGCGAAAGCUAGGGGAGCAAACGGG
rnacentral:rRNA from 1 species